GGGGGGGGGGGGGGGGGGGGGGGGCGGGGGCGGGGCGAGCGGAAGGGGCCGGCGGGGGGGGGGGGCUCGAGGGGCGAACGGGGGAGUAACACGUGAGUAACCUGCCCUUGACUGUGGGAUAACUUCAGGAAACGGGGGCUAAUACCGGAGAGGAGCUCCUGCUGCAUGGUGGGGGUUGGAAAGUUUCGGCGGUUGGGGAUGGACUCGCGGCUUAUCAGCUUGUUGGUGGGGUAGUGGCUUACCAAGGCUUUGACGGGUAGCCGGCCUGAGAGGGUGCCCGGCCACAUUGGGACUGAGAUACGGCCCAGACUCCUACGGGAGGCAGCAGUGGGGAAUAUUGCACAAUGGGCGGAAGCCUGAUGCAGCAACGCCGCGUGCGGGAUGACGGCCUUCGGGUUGUAAACCGCUUUCGCCUGUGACGAAGCGUGAGUGACGGUAAUGGGUAAAGAAGCACCGGCUAACUACGUG
rnacentral:rRNA from 1 species